UACGAAGGGGGCUAGCGUUGUUCGGAAUUACUGGGCGUAAAGCGCACGUAGGCGGAUAUUUAAGUCAGGGGUGAAAUCCCAGAGCUCAACUCUGGAACUGCCUUUGAUACUGGGUAUCUUGAGUAUGGAAGAGGUAAGUGGAAUUGCGAGUGUAGAGGUGAAAUUCGUAGAUAUUCGCAGGAACACCAGUGGCGAAGGCGGCUUACUGGUCCAUUACUGACGCUGAGGUGCGAAAGCUAGGGGAGCAAACGGG
rnacentral:rRNA from 1 species